GACGUAGGGCGCAAGCGUUGUCCGGAUUUAUUGGGUGUAAAGAGCUCGUAGGCGGCUUGUCGCGUCGACCGUGAAAACCCGCAGCUCAACUGCGGGCUUGCGGUCGAUACGGGCAGGCUCGAGUUCGGUAGGGGAGACUGGAAUUCCUGGUGUAGCGGUGAAAUGCGCAGAUAUCAGGAGGAACACCGGUGGCGAAGGCAGGUCUCUGGGCCGAUACUGACGCUGAGGAGCGAAAGCGUGGGGAGCGAACAGG
rnacentral:rRNA from 1 species